rnacentral:rRNA from 1 species
GAUGAACGCUGGCGGCGUGCUUAACACAUGCAAGUCGAACGGAAAGGCCCUGAUCUUGUGGGGUGCUCGAGUGGCGAACGGGUGAGUAAAACGCGAGUAACCUGUACUUGACUUUGGGAUAACUUUAGGAAACUGGGGCUAAUACCGGAUAGGAGAUCCUGAUGCACGGUGGGGGAUGGAAAGUUUCGGCGGUUGGGGAUAGAAUCGAGGGUUAUCAGCUUGUUGGUGGGGUAGUGGAUUACCAAGGCUUUGAAGGGUAGCCGGCCUGAGAGGGUGACCGGCCACAUGGGGACUGAGAUACGGCCCAGUCUCCAACCGGCGGCAGCAGUGGAGAAUAUUGCACAAUAGGCGGAAGCCAGUUGCAGCAACGCCGCGUGCGGGAUGACGUCCUUCUGGUUGUGAACCUCUUUCGCCGGUGAUGAAGCGUGAGUGACGGUAAUUGGUAAGGAAGCACCGGCUAACUACGUG